CCUACGGGAGGCAGCAGUGAGGAAUAUUGGUCAAUGGGCGAGAGCCUGAACCAGCCAAGUCGCGUGAGGGAGUACUGCCCUAUGGGUUGUAAACCUCUUUUGUCGGGGAGCAAAAGCCGGACGUGUCCGGCUGUGAGAGUACCCGAAGAAAAAGCAUCGGCUAACUCCGUGCCAGCAGCCGCGGUAAUAAGGAGGAUGCGAGCGUUAUCCGGAUUUAUUGGGUUUAAAGGGGGCGCAGGCGGAUUUUUAAGUCAGCGGUAAAAUCGUGGGGCUCAACCCCAUCCAGCCGUUGAAACUGGGGAUCUAGAGUGUGCGAGAGGUAUGCGGAAUGCGUGGUGUAGCGGUGAAAUGCAUAGAUAUCACGCAGAACCCCGAUUGCGAAGGCAGCAUACCGGUGCACAACUGACGCUCAGGCACGAAAGCGUGGGUAUCGAACAGGAUUAGAUACCCUUGUAGUC
rnacentral:rRNA from 1 species